rnacentral:rRNA from 1 species
AAUAGAUACCCGGGUAGUCCACGCCGUAAACGAUGAGUGCUAAGUGUUAGAGGGUUUCCGCCCUUUAGUGCUGAAGUUAACGCAUUAAGCACUCCGCCUGGGGAGUACGGCCGCAAGGCUGAAACUCAAAGGAAUUGACGGGGGCCCGCACAAGCGGUGGAGCAUGUGGUUUAAUUCGAAGCAACGCGAAGAACCUUACCAGGUCUUGACAUCCUCUGACAACCCUAGAGAUAGGGCUUCUCCUUCGGGAGCAGAGUGACAGGUGGUGCAUGGUUGUCGUCAGCUCGUGUCGUGAGAUGUUGGGUUAAGUCCCGCAACGAGCGCAACCCUUGAUCUUAGUUGCCAUCAUUUAGUUGGGCACUCUAAGGUGACUGCCGGUGACAAACCGGAGGAAGGUGGGGAUGACGUCAAAUCAUCAUGCCCCUUAUGACCUGGGCUACACACGUGCUACAAUGGACGGUACAAAGAGCUGCAAGACCGCGAGGUGGAGCUAAUCUCAUAAAACCGUUCUCAGUUCGGA